rnacentral:rRNA from 1 species
UGAGUUUGAUCCUGGCUCAGAAUGAACGCUAGUAGUAUGCUUUACACAUGCAAGUUUAACAAUUUUAUUUGUAUUGUAGCGAACGGGUGAGUAUUUACAGAAUUUUACCUUUUAGACUGACAUAAAGUAUGUUUCAUAUUUAAGUAAAUAUGAAUAAAAAUAUAGUAAUAUAUUUUUACUAAUAUCAGAUAUUAUUAUAUUAAUAAUAUAAAGAAAAAUUUCUCUAAUAGAUAAUACUGUAUAAGAUUAGGUUGUUGGUAGUGGAAUCAGCCUACCAAGCCUACGAUCUUUAGUUGGUCUGAGAGGAUGAUCAGCCACAUUGGAACUGAAACAAGGUCCAAGCUUUAUAGCCAGCAGUGAGGAAUAUUGGACAAUGAACGAAAGUUUGAUCCAGCAAUACUACAUGAAUGAUGACAGCUGAUUUGGUUGUAAAGUUCUUUCGUUGAGGAUGAUAAUGACCGUACUCAAAGAAGCAGUCCCGGCUAAUCUCGUGCCAGCAGCCGCGGUAAUACGGGAGGGGCAAGCGUUAUCCGGAAUAAUUGGGCGUAAAGGGUUCGUAGGUCGUAUUGCAAGUUGUAAGCGAAAACUUAAAGCCUAACUUUAAGAAUGCUUUCAAAACUACUUUACUAGAAUUUAAAAGAGAAUAGUGGAAUUUCACAUGGAGAGGUGGAAUUCAAAGAUAUGUGAAGGAACAUCAAAGGCGAAGGCAACUAUUUGGUUUAAAAUUGACACUGAGGAACGAAAGCAUGGGGAGCAAACAGGAUUAGAUACCCUGGUAGUCCACGCUGUAAACGAUGAGUGCUCGGAUUUAAAAUUUUUUGGGUCCCUAGUUAACACGUUAAGCACUCCGCCUGAGGAGUAUAAUCGCAAGGUUGGAACUCAAAGGAAUUGACGGGGGCCGAUACAAGUGGUGGAGCAUGUGGUUUAAUGCGAUAAUACGCGCGAAAUCUUACCAGUCUUUGACAUAUAAUAAAAGUUUUAGAAAUAAAACUAUAUUUUCUUUUUGAAAAAUAUUAAUACAUUUAAAUAUUUGUAUCUCGAAUGUUAAAUUAUA